rnacentral:rRNA from 1 species
GACAGAGGGUGCAAACGUUGUUCGGAAUUACUGGGCGUAAAGAGCGUGUAGGCGGCCAGAUAAGUCCGCUGUGAAAUCUCGAGGCUCAACUUCGAGCUGUCGGUGGAAACUGUCUGGCUAGAGUCCGGAAGAGGAGAAUGGAAUUCCUGGUGUAGCGGUGAAAUGCGCAGAUAUCAGGAAGAACACCCGUGGCGAAGGCGGUUCUCUGGGACGGUACUGACGCUGAGACGCGAAAGCGUGGGGAGCGAACAGG